rfam:Canis lupus familiaris chromosome 25, whole genome shotgun sequence.
GGAUGUGAGGGUGAUCUGGCUGCGACAUCUGUCACCCCAUUGAUCGCCAGGGUUGAUUCGGCUGAUCUGGCUGGCUAGGCGGGUGUCCCCUUCCUCCCUCACCGCUCCAUGUGCCUCCCUCCCGAAGCUGCACGCUCGCGCUCGGUCGAAGAGGAUGAAGAGGACGACCAUCCCCGAUAGAGGAGGACCGUUCUUCGGUCAAGGGUAAACGAGUAGCUGCGCUCCCCUGCUAGAACCUCCAAACAAGCUCUCAGGGUCCAUUUGUAGGAGAACGUAGGGUAGUCAAGCUUCCGAGACUCCAGACACAUCCAAAUGAGGCGCUGCACGUGGCAGUCUGCCAAGAAAG